GAUGAACGCUAGCGGCAGGCUUAAUACAUGCAAGUCGAGGGGUAACACGGGUAGCAAGUACCUGGUGACGACCGGCAAACGGGUGCGGAACACGUACAGAACCUUCCUUUAAGCGGGGGAUAGCCCAUAGAAAUGUGGAUUAAUACCCCAUAGUAAUAUUGUCUGGCAUCAGAUGGUAUUUAAAGAUUUAUCACUUAAAGAUGGCUGUGCGGCUGAUUAGGUAGUUGGUGCGGGUAACGGCCCACCAAGCCAUCGAUCAGUAACUGGUGUGAGAGCACGACCAGUCACACGGGCACUGAGACACGGGCCCGACUCCGUACGGGAGGCAGCAGUAAGGAAUAUUGGUCAAUGGACGCAAGUCUGAACCAGCCAU
rnacentral:rRNA from 1 species